UACGUGGGAUCCGAGCGUUGUCCGGAUUUACUGGGUGUAAAGGGUGCGCAGGCGGACUGGUAAGUCAGAGGUGAAAUCUCGUCGCUUAACGACGAAACUGCCUUUGAUACUAUCAGUCUUGAAUCCGGUAGAGAUCUGUGGAAUUCCGAGUGUAGCAGUGAAAUGUGUAGAUAUUCGGAAGAACACCAGUGGCGAAGGCAGCAGAUUGGGCCGGUAUUGACGCUCAGGCACGAAAGCAUGGGGAUCAAACAGG
rnacentral:rRNA from 1 species